UACGGGGGGAGCAAGCGUUGUUCGGAUUUACUGGGCGUAAAGGGCGCGUAGGCGGCCACCGCAAGUCGGUUGUGAAAUCUCCGGGCUUAACCCGGAAAGGUCAACUGAUACUGCGGGGCUAGAGUGCAGAAGGGGCAACUGGAAUUCUCGGUGUAGCGGUGAAAUGCGUAGAUAUCAGGAGGAACACCGGUGGCGAAGGCGGAUCUCUGGGCCGAUACUGACGCUCAGGCACGAAAGCGUGGGGAGCAAACAGG
rnacentral:rRNA from 1 species